GCUUUUCUAUCAAUUGCACAACAGUAAUUUGUCUACCCACCGUAUGCUUGCUUUCAUGAGAGAUGUCACUAGGGAACACUAUGGCCCGCGGGUCUAUUCACUUAUAAAUUUACAAACACUAUAAUUUCCUCGUUGCCUUUAAUUAUUUGUUACUUACUUAUCAUGUUGCAACUUUCAACACACUACUUACUUGCUUGCAAAUAACGAGAUAAGGGGAUUGACAACCCUCUUGUCCGUGUUGGGGGCAAGUGUUUGUUUAUUUUGUGUGUAGUUGCUGAAGGCGGGGGUUGGUUGUUACUCCUAUUGGUUCGAUAAACCUUGGUUCUUUAGUGAGGGAAAUACUUACCUGUGUUGUGUUGCAUCAUCUGUUCCUCUUCACGCAAAAAUCAACGCAGAUCACAAGCAUCAGGAAGGAUUUCUGGCACCGUUGUCGGUGAAUAUCAUCAACCUACUAUCAAGCCACUUCACACAAAGUACCAUUCACUUGUUCUUCUUUUUAUUUGCUAUUAUAUUUUUCUUGCUCCAU
rnacentral:lncRNA from 1 species